GAUGAACGCUGGCGGCGUGCCUAAUACAUGCAAGUCGAGCGAACAGACGAGGAGCUUGCUCCUCUGACGUUAGCGGCGGACGGGUGAGUAACACGUGGAUAACCUACCUAUAAGACUGGGAUAACUUCGGGAAACCGGAGCUAAUACCGGAUAAUAUAUUGAACCGCAUGGUUCAAUAGUGAAAGACGGUUUUGCUGUCACUUAUAGAUGGAUCCGCGCCGAAUUAGCUAGUUGGUAAGGUAACGGCUUACCAAGGCAACGAUGCGUAGCCGACCUGAGAGGGUGAUCGGCCACACUGGAACUGAGACACGGUCCAGACUCCUACGGGAGGCAGCAGUAGGGAAUCUUCCGCAAUGGGCGAAAGCCUGACGGAGCAACGCCGCGUGAGUGAUGAAGGUCUUCGGAUCGUAAAACUCUGUUAUUAGGGAAGAACAAAUGUGUAAGUAACUAUGCACGUAUUGACGGUACCUAAUCAGAAAGCCACGGCUAACUACGUG
rnacentral:rRNA from 1 species